AAGGUUAGCCAUCUUUGCAUUUGUCGAAGGUCUGUGUCCCAAGAAUGCUCCCUGUUAAUUUGAAGACCCUGGCAGUGAUAGGAAUGGACUUAUGCUGAGCAUAUGCAGAUGGACAGA